rnacentral:rRNA from 1 species
GACGAACGCUGGCGGCGUGCUUAACACAUGCAAGUCGAGCGACUGCAUUCUUUUCGGAGGGUGUAUGGAGCGGCGAACGGGUGAGUAACACGUGAGCAAUCUGCCUUUGGCUUGGGAAUAACUUCGGGAAAUCGGGGCUAAUGCCUGAUGUUUACUGUCUGCUGCAUGGUGGGUGGUGGAAAGAUUUUUUGGUCGACGGAGUGAGC